AGUGAACGCUGGCGGUAUGCCUUACACAUGCAAGUCGAACGGCAGCAUAGUAUGGGCUUGCUCUUACAUGGGGCGAGUGGCGGACGGGUGAGAUAUACAUCGGCAUCUACUUUUUCGUGGGAGAUAAAGUAGGGAGACUUACUCUAAUACCGCAUACGACGUGGGGGAAAAAGCAGGGCAGCAUCGGAUCUUGCUAUAGUGACGGCGGCGAUGUCUGAUUAGCUAGUUGGCGGGGUAAAGGCUCACCAAGGCGACGAUCCGUAGCUGGUCUGAGAGGAUGAUCAGCCACACUGGAACUGAGACACGGUCCAGACUCCUACGGGAGGCAGCAGUGGGGAAUAUUGGACAAUGGGCGCAAGCCUGAUCCAGCCAUACCGCGUGGGUGAAGAAGGCCUUCGGGUUGUAAAGCCCUUUUGUUGGGAAAGAAAAGCAGCAGGUUAAUACCCCGCUGUUCUGACGGUACCCAAAGAAUAAGCACCGGCUAACUUCGUG
rnacentral:rRNA from 1 species